rnacentral:rRNA from 1 species
GACGAACGCUGGCGGCGUGCUUAACACAUGCAAGUCGAACGGAAAGGCCCUGCUUUUGUGGGGUGCUCGAGUGGCGAACGGGUGAGUAACACGUGAGUAACCUGCCCUUGACUUUGGGAUAACUUCAGGAAACUUGGGCUAAUACCGGAUAGGAGCUCCUGCUGCAUGGUGGGGGUUGGAAAGUUUCGGCGGUUGGGGAUGGACUCGCGGCUGAUCAGCUUGUUGGUGGGGUAGUGGCUUACCAAGGCUUUGACGGGUAGCCGGCCUGAGAGGGUGACCGGCCACAUUGGGACUGGGAUACGGCCCAGACUCCUACGGGAGGCAGCAGUGGGGAAUAUUGCACAAUGGGCGGAAGCCUGAUGCAGCAACGCCGCGUGCGGGAUGACGGCCUUCGGGUUGUAAACCGCUUUCGCCUGUGACGAAGCGUGAGUGACGGUAAUGGGUAAAGAAGCACCGGCUAACUACGUG